CUACGGAGGCUGCAAGCGUUAUCCGGAAUCAUUGGGUUUAAAGGGUCCGUAGGCGGGCUAUUAAGUCAGAGGUGAAAUCCCACAGCUCAACUGUGGAACUGCCUUUGAUACUGAUAGUCUUGAGUUACAGUGAAGUAGAUAGAAUAUGUAGUGUAGCGGUGAAAUGCAUAGAUAUUACAUAGAAUACCGAUUGCGAAGGCAGUCUACUAACUGUAUACUGACGCUGAUGGACGAAAGCGUGGGGAGCGAACAGGAUUAGAUACCCUAGUAGUCC
rnacentral:rRNA from 1 species